rnacentral:ncRNA from 2 species
CGAUAGCGGAUAGUACCGUGAGGGAAUGGUGAAAAGUACCGCGGGAGCGGAGUGAAAUAGUACCUGAAACCGUGUGCCUACAAGCCGUGGGAGCGUCGGGAUGUGCUUGCACAUCCUCGUGACUGCGUGCCUUUUGAAGAAUGAGCCUGCGAGUUUGCGGUGUGUUGCGAGGUUAACCCGUGUGGGGAAGCCGUAGCGAAAGCGAGUCCGAACA